UGGACUGUAUAUGAGAUCCCAUUCACUUAGCAGUUCUCGCUCACAGACGGUGAAAUGUUCGAUGUCAACACCGUCGAACGAUGCCUCUCCUGCAGCCAUCAGAGAGCAGUCGCGUGUCACGGUCAUGGCGGCUUAGACAGCAGCCACGACGCAGAAGGUGUUUGCGGUUGAAAAGCAGAGUGAGGGCAAGCAGAGAAUAGAGGAACAUCAACAUCGUCGAUAUUUCCAGCGACAGCGACGGCGGAGAGAAGCAAGGCCUGCGUAAAUAUGCAAACCUGGUAUGCAUAUGCCAAGCCAACAUCCGCAG
rnacentral:sRNA from 1 species